GCCCCGGUAGCUCAGCUGGACAGAGCAACGGAUUCCUAAUCCGUAGGUCGUAGGUUCAAAUCCUAUCCGGGGCACCA
rnacentral:tRNA from 3 species